AUUGAACGCUGGCGGAAUGCUUUACACAUGCAAGUCGAACGGCAGCACGGGGCAACCUGGUGGCGAGUGGCGAACGGGUGAGUAAUACAUCGGAACGUGCCCAGUCGUGGGGGAUAACGUAGCGAAAGCUACGCUAAUACCGCAUACGAUCCAAGGAUGAAAGCGGGGGAUCGCAAGACCUCGCGCGAUUGGAGCGGCCGAUGGCAGAUUAGGUAGUUGGUGGGGUAAAGGCUCACCAAGCCGACGAUCUGUAGCUGGUCUGAGAGGACGACCAGCCACACUGGGACUGAGACACGGCCCAGACUCCUACGGGAGGCAGCAGUGGGGAAUUUUGGACAAUGGGCGCAAGCCUGAUCCAGCCAUUCCGCGUGCAGGAUGAAGGCCUUCGGGUUGUAAACUGCUUUUGUACGGAACGAAAAGGUGCCUUCUAAUACAGGGCGCUCAUGACGGUACCGUAAGAAUAAGCACCGGCUAACUACGUGCCAGCAGCCGCGGUAACAC
rnacentral:rRNA from 1 species